rnacentral:lncRNA from 12 species
GUUUUCAGUAACGAAAGGCACAAAACACGUUGGUGAUUCUUUACAACUUUCCACACCAGGGCCCCUCACUAGCCUGCGACACGCUUUCCAUCUGAAAUUUUGCUGAAAGGCUGAACGAUGUUCGCCUCCACAAAUCACCCAGUCUUAACUGGGGUAAAGUAAAUGGAGAGCCCUGGUCAGAAAGAGGAAUGUCUGCCCGGCCUAAUGACUGCUCUUCACUGCUUGGCAACUUCCUUUUCAUCUUUCAAAGACGUCAAGGGUUCGUGCCAGUGGGGUUUAAAAAUAAAUCCAUGCUCUUCGUUUCCCAAAGGCUGAAGCACUGGGCACCUUCACGAUGACACGAGGCCGCGGCUCCCCUGAAACCCAGGCGAGGAGGUUGCACUGCCACCCGGGCUGCCUGUCUGGCUGGGCUUCAAACUACUUAAGACUGCAGUUCGGGAAGCAUUUAUUCCAAAAAUAUUUAUUGCACGCCUCCUACUUUCCAGACGCUGUGCUGGCCACUGAGCAUACAGGAAGGAAGAAAAGGGACAGCCUACAGCUGCCCUCCUGGAGCGUGUAGUCCAUGGUGUCGCCUGCUGGCUCACGAUGGGGGCUGUUUUAGUGCCCUGUUUACAGGACUGGUCAUCUGCCCCCGGUUAUUUCCUCGUUAGGACCGCACCGUUGGUGGAGCCUCCAGACUGUGCCGGGGCUGCAGCAGGAACGUGCCAGCUAACAAAGAACGAAGGGAUCCUAGAAGUAAACUGUGCAGAGAGUCUUUCUGAACCAAGAGGUCAACAUUCCCAGUAUAUGAAAAGUUGCUGCCAAAUCAGAAGAUUUAGAUCACACGUGGGGCCUGCCAACCAGAGGCAUACAGGUAUUACUUGGUCGUAUUUGUUUGGCCUACAGAUAGUUUUAAAAAUAAUUUGGUGGCUCAGCCAGCAAAGCAUCUGACUUUGGGUUUCCCCUCAGAUCUUGAUGUCAGGGUCUUGAGACGGGGCCUGAGUUGGGCUCCGGCUUGAAGAUUUUCUCCCUCUGCCUCUCCCCACAAUUGCAUGCACUUGCACUCUCUCUGUCUCUGUCUCUCUCACACACACAAAUAAGUAAAUAAAUAAAUAAGGAAAUAAAUCUUUUAAAUAUUU